AGAGUUCGAUCCUGGCUCAGGAUGAACGCUGGCGGCGCGCCUAACACAUGCAAGUCGAACGGCACCCCUCUCCGGAGGGAAGCGAGUGGCGAACGGCUGAGUAACACGUGGAGAACCUGCCCCCUCCCCCGGGAUAGCCGCCCGAAAGGACGGGUAAUACCGGAUACCCCGGGGUGCCGCAUGGCACCCCGGCUAAAGCCCCGACGGGAGGGGAUGGCUCCGCGGCCCAUCAGGUAGACGGCGGGGUGACGGCCCACCGUGCCGACAACGGGUAGCCGGGUUGAGAGACCGACCGGCCAGAUUGGGACUGAGACACGGCCCAGACUCCUACGGGAGGCAGCAGUGGGGAAUCUUGCGCAAUGGGGGGAACCCUGACGCAGCGACGCCGCGUGCGGGACGGAGGCCUUCGGGUCGUAAACCGCUUUCAGCAGGGAAGAGUCAAGACUGUACCUGCAGAAGAAGCCCCGGCUAACUACGUGCCAGCAGCCGCGGUAAUACGUAGGGGGCGAGCGUUGUCCGGAAUUAUUGGGCGUAAAGCGCGCGUAGGCGGCCUGCCCCCCGAAGCCCCCGGAACCUCCGCGGCUUGGGUCCGGUAGGGGAGGGUGGAACACCCGGUGUAGCGGUGGAAUGCGCAGAUAUCGGGUGGAACACCGGUGGCGAAGGCGGCCCUCUGGGCCGAGACCGACGCUGAGGCGCGAAAGCUGGGGGAGCGAACAGGAUUAGAUACCCUGGUAGUCCCAGCCGUAAACGAUGGACGCUAGGUG
rnacentral:rRNA from 1 species